rnacentral:rRNA from 1 species
GGGCUCACACAAGCGGUGGAGGAUGUGGCUUAAUUCGAGGCUACGCGAAGAACCUUACCUAGACUUAACAUGUUUGAGAAUCUCUGUGAAAGCAGAGAGUGCCUUUCGGGGAACUCUUACGUAGGUGCUGCAUGGCUGUCGUCAGCUCGUGUCGUGAGAUGUCGGGUUAAGUCCCUUAACGAGCGAAACCCUUAUCUUCAGUUGCCAGCGAGUAAUGUCGGGGACUCUGGAGAGACUGCCGGUGUUAAACCGGAGGAAGGUGGGGAUGACGUCAAGUCCUCAUGGCCUUUAUGUCUAGGGCUGCACACGUCCUACAAUGCAACGUACAAAGCGACGCGAAAUCGCGAGAUCAAGCAAACCGCACAAAACGUUGCCCAGUUCGGAUUGCAGGCUGAAAUUCGCCUGCAUG